GUGGGGAAUAUUGGACAAUGGGCGAAAGCCUGAUCCAGCCAUACCGCGUGGGUGAAGAAGGCCUUCGGGUUGUAAAGCCCUUUUGUUGGGAAAGAAAAGCAGCCGGUUAAUACCCGGUUGUUCUGACGGUACCCAAAGAAUAAGCACCGGCUAACUUCGUGCCAGCAGCCGCGGUAAUACGAAGGGUGCAAGCGUUACUCGGAAUUACUGGGCGUAAAGCGUGCGUAGGUGGUUGUUUAAGUCUGUCGUGAAAGCCCUGGGCUCAACCUGGGAACUGCGAUGGAAACUGGGCAACUAGAGUGUGGUAGAGGGUAGCGGAAUUCCUGGUGUAGCAGUGAAAUGCGUAGAUAUCAGGAGGAACAUCCAUGGCGAAGGCAGCUACCUGGGCCAACACUGACACUGAGGCACGAAAGCGUGGGGAGCAAACAGGAUUAGAUACCCGAGUAGUCC
rnacentral:rRNA from 1 species